CGCUAAUGAUUUUGCCUAUUUAUUUAGGAGUCAACUUGCAAAGAUUAAAAUUUUAACACAGCCGCAAAACAUGUCGAUGGACCAAAAUGUUCUAUUUGCGGGGAUCAAAAAAUAUUUGAACAAAGGUUAAAAAAAGCCUUACAAAAAAGGGAAAUGAGGAGGCUAAGGAGAGAUGACAACUAAAUGUAAUAUGGUCUCCUGGAUGGAAUCCUGGAACAGAAAAAGGACAAUGGUUUAAAACUAAGGAAAUGUGUAUAAAACUUACUGCUCUAAUCACAGAUUUAUAAAUGCCAACUACUCUUGGGUACAAAAGAGUGGCUCAGGUGACAGCAUUCAAUAAGGAGUCAGUGGCAAGCUACAGGAGCAAAGGAGAAACAGAACAAAGUACGUAAUACUUUGUGAUCUAAGAAAAUCAGUCUGUUGCUUGAAGAAAAAAACAUGGAUCUGAAGAGUGGGACAGGCCAAAGCAUUUCUAUUUUGUACUUCAAGCAGAAGAUGGUAUCACUAAUAGAAGAGCAGGUACUACAUCUCAAGAACUGGUAAACAAGGACCACUGAUGAAGGCAAGCACACCGAAGAGUAUUCCUGUGGGAAGUUCACCUCUCAAGGAAACAUCAAUACAGAGGACACUGAUUUCUGUGAGGCAUCCCAGAGCUGAAAUCCUUACUCUAUGGAAUCGAUGCGGGGAUUUGGAGGCCGGUUGCUUCUUCAGGUCAAGGAAGGCAUCUCCAUUUUCUGUUUCACCCACAC